UACAGUGGGUACGGAAAGUAGUGCAUGUAAUUUAAAAGUAUUAACCAAAUAGCGUUACAGUAGUUGUAGGUUUUGGUUAACAUUCUUGCAUAGGUUUGAGCGCGCCAAUUUUUUAAAUAAGAAAUGAACAGACAUUGGUUGGUUGUAGUGUUAAUUGUACCGUAUUAAGUUGAUAUCUAACUGAGACAUGAAGCAUUAUUUGAGAAAAAAAAAAGGUAAUUAUCUGUUAACUUUAACAUGAGCUUUUCUUAGAGCUAACAGCAUUCUCUCUUUCCCUGCUAUUCUCUCCUCAGCAUUUUUUCUGCGGUGACCACUGGGGAAUAAAGUUGUUAGCCUUGUGCCACAGCCGCUGACGUUGAAGGGACUAUGACGCUACCAAGCACCCCUCGCUUGAUUGUCCAAGAUGACACAAUGAAGCCGAGGACAUGGAUGCUGUCUUUGGAGGGUCAAGUGGUCAUGGGGCCUCACCCUGACUUUACAACUGGUCUGGCUGCCAUUUUUGCCAGCUACUAUAAUUUCAAUCUGAAAUAUCCUGACGAUGCUUCUUGUACUCUGGAAUUUAUCCAAAGGUGCUCCUUGGGAAUAAAUCCAGAGACAGGCACGAAGUCAAAGAGGCAGAGAGGUCCCAUCAGCCAACAAGUCUGCACACUAAUCAGAAAACUCAAUGAUUUUGAAUGGAUGACAGUCUAGAAUGUAAGCAGUGUUUCGCCAGAACAGACCAACCAAACACUGGCUCGGUGUUAAGUCGCAUGCAGUUAUGCAG